CCGACCCCGCCGCCGCCCCGCGGACCCCGCGCCUGGGCUCCGGCCGCUCCGAGCGAGAACCCAAGCGGGCACCGGGCGUGCGGAGGCCGGCGGGCCCCGUAGGGACCGCCCCCCUCCAGCCGGCAGAGCGCGGGGCCGCCGCAGUUCCUACGCUGCCCGCCGGGCGGCGCCCCGCGCCUCCCGCGCUCCCCGCUCUCGGCUCGCUCGCAGCCGGACACAGACUCUGUCUUCGGCUGCCGGCGGAUCGGACUGGAGCCGCCGAGGCUGCUGCGGAAGAGGAAAAAAAAAAAUGGAAACCAAUAGCCCGGCGGGCGGCGGAGCAGCGCCCGUGCCCCCACUCAGCUCCGGAGUGCGGAGCCGUCCAGGGAGAUGUGGAUCCCACCUGGGACUAGAACCUGGAUUUUGAGAAUUCUUGUUCAAUGCUCUCCACUUACUGCAGCUGAGGGAAAGGGAACUGUCCAUUUAAAUAGCUGAUGUUGGUAAGUGCUUUGGGGAGACAAGGUUCUCUUGAUCUGUAUAGGGCUCAUGUGUGAAUAUGACUUACGGUACAUUGGGAGAAUCAACCAAGAGUGCAAGGCAUCAAGGAGGGAGGUAGAAAGGAGUGAGGGAGAGAGGAAGAGAGAGAGAGAGAGAGAGAGUUAAAGAGGAGGAGGGGAUAUUGUCUGCACUGUGUUCCUCUUGAGGGUGCUGCAGAAACAACGGGCAGGGAUCAGUGUAUCAGAUGCAGCCAGUGUGGGGUUUUU
rnacentral:lncRNA from 1 species